rnacentral:lncRNA from 7 species
AGUGACUACUGUGUCUGUUUAUGGGUACUUCUGCAGAAAUUAAGCCUAAAUGUCUUUAUCCUUAUGAGUGAGGAUAUAGAAGUCUAUUUAAAAUGCUGAAAAGAUAAUGCUCUUCCAUGGGGUUACCAGUUUGUGAUGCAAGAAAAGAAAAAGAUGGAGUUCUUCAAGCACACUUCUGGAUCUAGAAGAUAUCCACCUUAUUCUACUGAGUAUCUGAGUCUCUUGUUAAACGUUCUCUUCCAGGUCUCAUAAAACAGUGCGUUAAUCAAUGCAAGGAAGUUUGUUAGGAUGAAGACACGUGGUGUAUUUUUUUCCCUACCCAGUGUGAACGUUACUGCAAAAAUGUGGACUUUGAGGAGCUGUGCUCAUAAAAAGCUUUCACCGUAGGUCCUUAGCUAUGCGCUAAAGUUGUAGCCUCAUGUUUUCAUGGAAUCAUCAAGGUUGGAAAAGACCUCUAAGAUCAUCUACUCCAACCAUCUAGUUCCACCAAUAUUGCCCACUAAGCCAUGUAUAUAAACAAUGUUUUAUCAAGCAUUGCAUAGAAAGGUGGUAGUUUGGGUUUUUUUUCUUGACAUUGGAAAGUCAUUGGAAAAAAGCACGCAGUUCUUUCUGAGGGGUAGGGUACCUCCCAUUUAAAUGUUAAUUUUUUAAUUAUUUUGGUAUCAUGGUACAUGCAUAAGUUGGGCAAAGCAACCUUCAGUAUUAUCCUGUGCAUGAAAUUUGUAUUUCAAAUACUGCAGUCCAUGGU